rnacentral:rRNA from 1 species
UACGGAGGGGGCAAGCGUUGUUCGGAAUUAUUGGGCGUAAAGAGUAUGUAGGCGGUUAGAUAAGUCAGGUGUGUAAGCCCAGGGCUCAACCCUGGAAUUGCAUUUGAAACUGUCUGACUUGAGUUCAGGAGAGGAAAGCGGAAUUCCCAGUGUAGCGGUGAAAUGCAUUGAUAUUGGGAAGAACAUCGGUGGCGAAGGCGGCUUUCUGGUCUGAUACUGACGCUGAGAUACGAAAGCUAGGGGAGCGAACGGGAUUAGAUACCCCGGUAGUCCUAGCUGUAAACGAUGGGUACUAGGUGUAGGGGGUAUCGAUCCCCCCUGUGUCGCAGCUAACGCAUUAAGUACCCCGCCUGG